rnacentral:misc_RNA from 1 species
GAAUGACGCGUCCAUCUCACUGCAGCAUUGCUGGAGCAUACUCUGACUGAUGCUGCCCUUUAUCUCCCAGUAGAUGACAUAGUGUCCAGGCUGCUUUUUCACCUCUGCAUGGCUUGUGAAGUCGACGAGCUCUGCUUUGCUCAGGAGCGUCGAACUCUUGUCUACAGCCAACUGGAGGUCCUUCUCGGUGUUCUUGUCGAUGUUCACCGUCAGUAUCAGCUUUCUACGGCACACAAAGCUUAGCUGAG